GACGAACGCUGGCGGCGUGCCUAACACAUGCAAGUCGAACGGAAGUAAGAGCUUCGGUUUUGCUUUAGUGGCGAACGGGUGAGUAACGCGUGAGGAACCUGCCUUUCAGUGGGGGACAACAGUUGGAAACGACUGCUAAUACCGCAUAACACUUUGGGUCGCAUGAUUCUGAAGUCAAAGAUUUAUUGCUGAAAGAUGGCCUCGCGUCUGAUUAGCUAGUUGGCGGGGUAACGGCCCACCAAGGCGACGAUCAGUAGCCGGUCUGAGAGGAUGAACGGCCACAUUGGGACUGAGAUACGGCCCAG
rnacentral:rRNA from 1 species